CUGGCGGCGUGCUUAACACAUGCAAGUCGACGAAGCAAUUCUUACGAUCCUCGGGUGACGAGUAUUGACUGAGUGGCGGACGGGUGAGUAACGCGUGGGUAACCUGCCUGUACAGGGGACGAACAGUUGGAACGACUGCUAAUACCGCAUAAGCGCACAGCUUCGCAUGAAGCAGUGUGAAAAGUUAUUUCGGUACAAGAUGGACCCGCGUCUGAUUAGCUAGUUGGUGAGGUAACGGCCCACCAAGGCGACGAUCAGUAGCCGACCUGAGAGGGUGACCGGCCACAUUGGGACUGAGACACGGCCCAAACUCCUACGGGAGGCAGCAGUGGGGAAUAUUGCACAAUGGGCGCAAGCCUGGUGCAGCCGACGCCGCGUGAGCGAAGAAGUAUUUCGGUAUGUAAAGCUCUAUCAGCAGGGAAGAUAAUGACGGUACCUGACUAAGAAGCACCGGCUAAAUACGUGCCAGCAGCCGC
rnacentral:rRNA from 1 species